rnacentral:rRNA from 1 species
AGUGAGGAAAGGUUACAUAUUAAUACUAUGUAGCUGUGACGUUACCUACAGAAGAAGCACCGGCUAACUCCGUGCCAGCAGCCGCGGUAAUACUGAGGGUGCAAGCGUUAAUCGGAAUUACUGGGCGUAAAGCGUGCGUAGGUGGUUACGUCAGUUGGAUGUGAAAGCCCAGGGCUCAACUUGGGAACUGCAUUCCAUACUGUAUAACUAGAGU